AACGCUGGCGGCAGGCCUAACACAUGCAAGUCGAGCGGAUGAAGGGAGCUUGCUCCUGGAUUCAGCGGCGGACGGGUGAGUAAUGCCUAGGAAUCUGCCUGGUAGUGGGGGAUAACGUCCGGAAACGGGCGCUAAUACCGCAUACGUCCUGAGGGAGAAAGUGGGGGAUCUUCGGACCUCACGCUAUCAGAUGAGCCUAGGUCGGAUUAGCUAGUUGGUGGGGUAAAGGCCUACCAAGGCGACGAUCCGUAACUGGUCUGAGAGGAUGAUCAGUCACACUGGAACUGAGACACGGUCCAGACUCCUACGGGAGGCAGCAGUGGGGAAUAUUGGACAAUGGGCGAAAGCCUGAUCCAGCCAUGCCGCGUGUGUGAAGAAGGUCUUCGGAUUGUAAAGCACUUUAAGUUGGGAGGAAGGGCAGUAAGUUAAUACCUUGCUGUUUUGACGUUACCAACAGAAUAAGCACCGGCUAACUUCGU
rnacentral:rRNA from 1 species